UGAGAGCUCACAUAUUCUUCUUCCAGCGAGGUUUCACUUCCUGAAACUCUUGACCUGAGCCUCCAUGUGCAGUGACGUUGACAACCACCAGCCAUCACAAUAAUGAAGUCAAAAAAGCCUGGGGAAUAUUGGAUUUUGCCUUCAGGGAUUUCUGAUAGUUCAUAGGACAGCCAUGAACACAGACUGUCACUGUACCCCAUAGAGCAAAGCUCUGUUGCUUGAAUCCUGCAAAUUUCAGAUUAGUGAGAAUGUUUCUAAACUCCACCAGUGAUUCAUGACUCCAACUCUCAUUUAGAAAAGCCAUUCACGCAGAAGACUUACAUUGUGUGAAAAUUGGUGACAACAUGUCUUGGACUAGAAGAAAGCAAGCUACCAGAGAUGGCCAACAUUCGCUGAGGUCUCCUGGGGAUUCCAUCACACCAGACAACAGGAAGCAGUGUCAAGGCUAGCCAUUUGGGGAAGAAACUGCCCUUGUCUUGAAUGCUGACAGUAUGCUGUACAAGCUGGACAAGUAGGACCCAAAAGAAAAAGACUGCUGAACUUUACCAAGACAAGGUUGCAGCCUUGAGAUCCUCAGAGCUAUGUGUUUUCCUCCAUUGACCAGAUUACUUCAUGGCUAGGAGUUUCACAUCCUUCUGCAUGCCCUAGUUUCAGGGUACUGUCAAAGCAACUGGUUGUUCUCCACAACCUGAUAAUACGUCUUCACUGCUGAAGAUAACACUUACCGAUGUCAUCUAACACAAAGAAGUGGAAACGGUUAUACAAGAUGUGGAAAUAAAGAUCUGUAAAGGAAAAUGCCAAUGGGAACAUUUUGUGUGUUGCCUUGGCAAUGGUGUGGAAACAGAAGCAGGUGGAAGGACAGCUCUGAGCUGCUGAGUCUGAACAAUCGGGAACCACAGGAAAUGCUCCCCAGACAGCAUGACUGUAAAUUCCAUAUUCAACUCUCUUCAAAGUCUUACAGUAAGGAAAUGUCUUUGAU